GAUGAACGCUGGCGGCGUGCCUAAUACAUGCAAGUCGAGCGAACAGACGAGGAGCUUGCUCCUCUGACGUUAGCGGCGGACGGGUGAGUAACACGUGGAUAACCUACCUAUAAGACUGGGAUAACUUCGGGAAACCGGAGCUAAUACCGGAUAACAUGUUGAACCGCAUGGUUCAACAGUGAAAGACGGUCUUGCUGUCACUUAUAGAUGGAUCCGCGCCGCAUCAGCUAGUUGGUAAGGUAACGGCUUACCAAGGCAACGAUGCGUAGCCGACCUGAGAGGGUGAUCGGCCACACUGGAACUGAGACACGGUCCAGACUCCUACGGGAGGCAGCAGUAGGGAAUCUUCCGCAAUGGGCGAAAUCCUGACGGAGCAACGCCGCGUGAGUGAAGAAGGUCUUCGGAUCGUAAAACUCUGUUAUUAGGGAAGAACAAAUGUGUAAGUAACUAUGCACGUCUUGACGGUACCUAAUCAGAAAGCCACGGCUAACUACGUG
rnacentral:rRNA from 1 species